rnacentral:tRNA from 1 species
GUAAACUAAAUUUUUUAGAAUAUUUUAUUUACAAUAAAAAGGGGCUGUUUAGCUAGUUUAAU